rnacentral:rRNA from 1 species
AUACGGAGGGGACAAGCGCUAUUCGGAAUCACUGGGCGUAAAGGACGCGUAGGCGGGUUAUUAAGUCGGGUGUGAAAUCCAAUGGCUCAACCAUUGAACUGCAUUCGAAACUGAUAACCUAGAGUAUGGAAGGGGCAGGUGGAAUUAGUGGUGUAGGGGUAAAAUCCGUAGAUAUCACUAGGAAUACCGAAAGCGAAGGCGACCUGCUGGGACAUUACUGACGCUGAGGCGUGAAAGCGUGGGGAGCAAACAGGAUUAGAAACCCUAGUAGUCC